rnacentral:tRNA from 1 species
GGAUUGCAGCUCAGUGGUAGAGCACUUGCCUCGCAUACAUGAGACCCUGGGUUCAAUCCUCAGCACCA